rnacentral:rRNA from 1 species
GACGAACGCUGGCGGCAGGCUUAACACAUGCAAGUCGAACGCCCCGCAAGGGGAGUGGCAGACGGGUGAGUAACGCGUGGGAACAUACCCUUUCCUGCGGAAUAGCUCUGGGAAACUGGAAUUAAUACCGCAUACGCCCUUCGGGGGAAAGAUUUAUCGGGGAAGGAUUGGCCCGCGUUGGAUUAGCUAGUUGGUGGGGUAAAGGCCUACCAAGGCGACGAUCCAUAGCUGGUCUGAGAGGAUGAUCAGCCACAUUGGGACUGAGACACGGCCCGAACUCCUACGGGAGGCAGCAGUGGGGAAUAUUGGACAAUGGGCGCAAGCCUGAUCCAGCCACGCCGCGUGAGUGAUGAAGGCCUUAGGGUUGUAAAGCUCUUUCACCGAUGAAGAUAAUGACGGUAGUCGGAGAAGAAGCCCCGGCUAACUUCGUGCCAGCCGCCGCCGUAAAAC